ACUGCUCAGUAACACGUGGCUAACCUGCCCUUGGGACAAGGACAACUCCGGGAAACUGGGGCUAAUCCCUGAUAGGUGAGAACUCCUGGAAUGGAUUCUCGCUGAAAGGACGUUUAGACCAUGCUUCUAGGCGUCGCCCAAGGAGGGGGCCGCGACCGAUCAGGUUGUUGGUGAGGUAACGGCUCACCAAGCCUUUAACCGGUACGGGCCGUGAGAGCGGAAGCCCGGAGAUGGGCACUGAGACAAGGGCCCAGGCCCUACGGGGCGCAGCAGUCGCGAAAACUCCGCAAUACACGAAAGUGUGACGGGGCCAUCCCGAGUGCCAUCCGCUGAGGAUGGCUUUUCCCCAGUGUAUAAAGCUGGGGGAAUAAGGAGAGGGCAAGCCUGGUGUCAGCCGCCGCGGUAAUACCAGCUCUCCGAGUGGUGGGGAUGCUUAUUGGGCCUAAAGCAUUCGUAGCCUGCUUGGCAAGUCCUCCGUUAAAUCCAACGAUUCAAUCGUUGGGCUGCGGGGGAUACUGUCCGGCUAGGGGGCGGGAGAGGCCGACGGUAUCCUCGGGGUAGGGGUGAAAUCCUAUAAUCCCGGGAGGACCACCAGUGGCGAAGGCUGUCGGCUAGAACGCGCUCGACGGUGAGGGAUGAAAGCUGGGGGAGCGAACCGGAUUAGAUACCCGGGUAGUCCCAGCUGUAAACGAUGCAGGCUAGGUGUUGGCGCGGCUACGUGCCGCUCCAGUGCCGCAGGGAAGCCGUUAAGCCUGCCGCCUGGGGAAGUACGGCCGCAAGGCUGAAACUUAAAGGAAUUGGCGGGGGAGCACCACAAGGUGUGAAGCUUGCG
rnacentral:rRNA from 1 species